UACAAUGAGAAGCAAUGUGAA
rnacentral:piRNA from 1 species